GUGAAAUUGUUGUAAAGGGAAACGAUUGAAGUCAGUCAUACCAACGGGAAAUCAACCUCUUGAGCUCGGUCUCGUGGGUUUUGAAGAGUUUCAAAGCCUUCGGAGUUCGCGGGAUUGGGGAUCUCUUGGUGUACGUUUUCGUACGGUUAGUCAACAUCGGUUUUGAAUGUCAUAAAAUGACUGGAGGAAUGUAGCUUCGAUCUCGUAUUGAAGUGUUAUAGACUCCGGCAGAUGUGAUGAUCGGGAUUGAGGAUUGCAACGGAUACCCUUCGGGGCUACCCGUCUGAUCUCUGAAAGUUGCUCUGGUGCCGAAAGCUCGCUUACGGUCAUCAAAGUUGACGUUCAACAGGUUAGAACGGGAUAAAUUCGUUAAGGAUGUUGACGUAAUGGCUUUAAACGAC
rnacentral:rRNA from 1 species